rnacentral:rRNA from 1 species
UUUUUAUAAAAUUGUUAUAAGUAAAAUUUGCUCAAUGUGUAUAUAUAUAUAUAUAUCUAUAUAAAUAGCCGCAGAACUUUAACUGUGCUAAGGUAGCAUAAUCAUUUACCUUUUAAUUAAAGGUUUGCAUGAAUGAUUUAACAAUUAAAUAACUUUUUUAUCCUUAAAAAUUUAAUUUAAAUUAAGAGUAAAAAUAUUCUUAUUAAAAAAAAAGACGACAAGACCCUAAUGAACUUUACUAAUGUUAAGCUGGGGAAGCUAGUCAAAUACAAUUUUGACUUAAUUUUUUAAAAAAUUUUCUGGAAACCCAAUCUAAAUAAGUUACCAUAGGGAUAACAGCGUAAUAUGUUUUUAAAGCUCUUAUUAAAAAAAAAGAUUACGACCUCGAUGUUGAAUUAGAAUUACUAUAAAUCGCAAUAGUGCUAAAAGUGGGUCUGUUCGACCUUUAAACUUCUACA